GUGAGUGGCGAACGGGUGAGUAACACGUGGACAACCUGCCUCAAGGCUGGGGAUAACAUUUGGAAACAGAUGCUAAUACCGAAUAAAACUUAGUGUCGCAUGACAAAAAGUUAAAAGGCGCUUCGGCGUCACCUAGAGAUGGAUCCGCGGUGCAUUAGUUAGUUGGUGGGGUAAAGGCCUACCAAGACAAUGAUGCAUAGCCGAGUUGAGAGACUGAUCGGCCACAUUGGGACUGAGACACGGCCCAAACUCCUACGGGAGGCUGCAGUAGGGAAUCUUCCACAAUGGGCGAAAGCCUGAUGGAGCAACGCCGCGUGUGUGAUGAAGGCUUUCGGGUCGUAAAGCACUGUUGUAUGGGAAGAACAGCUAGAAUAGGAAAUGAUUUUAGUUUGACGGUACCAUACCAGAAAGGGACGGCUAAAUACGUGCCAGCAGCCGCGGUAAUACGUAUGUCCCGAGCGUUAUCCGGAUUUAUUGGGCGUAAAGCGAGCGCAGACGGUUUAUUAAGUCUGAUGUGAAAGCCCGGAGCUCAACUCCGGAAUGGCAUUGGAAACUGGUUAACUUGAGUGCAGUAGAGGUAAGUGGAACUCCAUGUGUAGCGGUGGAAUGCGUAGAUAUAUGGAAGAACACCAGUGGCGAAGGCGGCUUACUGGACUGCAACUGACGUUGAGGCUCGAAAGUGUGGGUAGCAAACAGGAUUAGAUACCCUGGUAGUCCACACCGUAAACGAUGAACACUAGGUGUUAGGAGGUUUCCGCCUCUUAGUGCCGAAGCUAACGCAU
rnacentral:rRNA from 1 species